UACGUAGGAGGCAAGCGUUGUCCGGAAUCAUUGGGCGUAAAGCGCGUGUAGGCGGUCCGGUAAGUCGGCUGUGAAAGUCCAGGGCUCAACCCUGGGAUGCCGGUCGAUACUGCCGGACUAGAGUUCGGAAGAGGCGAGUGGAAUUCCCGGUGUAGCGGUGAAAUGCGCAGAUAUCGGGAGGAACACCAAUGGCGAAGGCAGCUCGCUGGGACGUUACUGACGCUGAGACGCGAAAGCGUGGGGAGCAAACAGG
rnacentral:rRNA from 1 species